rnacentral:rRNA from 1 species
GAUCCUGGCUCAGGAUGAACGCUAGCUACAGGCUUAACACAUGCAAGUCGAGGGGAAACGAUAUUGGAAGCUUGCUUUUGAUGGGCGUCGACCGGCGCACGGGUGAGUAACGCGUAUCCAACCUGCCUACCACUUGGGGAUAACCUUGCGAAAGUAAGACUAAUACCCAAUGACAUCCCACGAAGACAUCUGAAUGGGAUUAAAGAUUUAUCGGUGAUGGAUGGGGAUGCGUCUGAUUAG